UGAAUCAAGUGAGGCACUGCUUA
rnacentral:piRNA from 1 species